rfam:Ovis aries breed Texel chromosome 4, whole genome shotgun sequence.
CCUGGUGGCUCAGAGGUUAAAGCGUCUGCCUCCAAUGCAGGAGACCCAGGUUCAAUCCCUGGGUCAGGA